GACAGUGACUAAGAAAUUGAGGCAGAGGAUAUGGAACCUGACAAGUACAUUUGAUUGACUGGGAUCAUUUGGAAAAUGAACGGAAUAUGGAAACUAGGAAUUGUUCCAAGGCAUAUUACCUAGAAGUUACAGUACUGCUGUUGAAGGUUUUUUUUUUUCCUCAGUUGGCUUUGGGCUUACAGUGCUCAACCCUUUGCAUGAUGGACAAGUUACCUGACCUCAGGUGAUGCUAUAUAUUAUGUGCUUGUUGGAUUAAUUGUAAGGCAAUA